GAUGAAGAACGUAGUGAAAUGCGAUAAGUAGUGUGAAUUGCAGAAUUCAGAGAAUCAUCGAAUCUUUGAACGCACAUUGCGCCCUUUGGUAUUCCAAAGGGCAUGCCUGUUCGAGCGUCAUUUGUACCCUCAAGCUUUGCUUGGUGUUGGGCGUCUUGUCUCUAGCUUUGCUGGAGACUCGCCUUAAAGUAAUUGGCAGCCGGCCUACUGGUUUCGGAGCGCAGCACAAGUCGCACUCUCUAUCAGCAAAGGUCUAGCAUCCAUUAAGCCUUUUUUUCAACUUUUGACCUCGGAUCAGGUAGGGAUACCCGCUGAACUUAAGCAUAUCAAUAAGCGGAGGA
rnacentral:misc_RNA from 1 species